UAGGCCAUGAAUCAUGCACACAUCACGUCUCGCUUCCACUACAACACAACAGGCAGCAAUGCUCUAGUGGAACUUGAGGCUGGUGAGGACGUUGUUGUUGACGGGGUCGGCGAGGUGGUCGAGCAGGUUCUGGAAGGGGCCGACGCCGGUGACGAGCCCCUGGAUGAAGUACCCGAGGAUGGCGAGCAUGGCGAGCCUGCCGUUCUUGAUCUCCUUGAGCUUGAGCUCCUUCAUCUCCUUCUCGGUCUUUCCGAACCCGAGCGGGUUGAAGAGCGGGCCGCCGGGGUAGGACGGGUCGCCGGAGCCGGCGAGGAACUUCUCGAGGCCGAGGAAGUACUGCUUGCCCAUGGAGCCCGGGUUGUACCAGUCCUGGAGGCGGCGGUGCUCGGCGAAGCCCAUGAGCGCCAUGUUGAAGACGAAGAGCGUGUAGGAGUCGGCCCAGUAGUUGUAGGUGCCCGCCGGCGGGAUGACCCCCGUCUUGAACCACGGCAGCGCCGUCUCCGGCGGGAUGAGGCCCAGCUUGCCGAAGACCUCCGGAGCGAUGGCGCCC
rnacentral:lncRNA from 1 species